rnacentral:rRNA from 1 species
UAGGGAAUCUUCCACAAUGGGCGAAAGCCUGAUGGAGCAACGCCGCGUGUGUGAUGAAGGCUUUCGGGUCGUAAAGGCACUGUUGUAUGGGAAGAACAGCUAGAAUAGGAAAUGAUUUUAGUUUGACGGUACCAUACCAGAAAGGGACGGCUAAAUACGUGCCAA